GGGCAGGUGACGGAGUGGUUGAACGUGCUCGUCUCGAAAACGAGUUAGGGUGAAACCUACGGGGGUUCGAAUCCCCCCCUGCCCUCCA
rnacentral:tRNA from 1 species